rnacentral:rRNA from 1 species
ACGGGUGAGUAACGCGUGGGAAUCUACCCAUCCCUACGGAAUAACGCAUGGAAACGUGUGCUAAUACCGUAUACGUCCUUCGGGAGAAAGAUUUAUCGGAGAUGGAUGAGCCCGCGUUGGAUUAGCUAGUUGGUGGGGUAAAGGCCUACCAAGGCGACGAUCCAUAGCUGGUCUGAGAGGAUGAUCAGCCACACUGGGACUGAGACACGGCCCAGACUCCUACGGGAGGCAGCAGUGGGGAAUAUUGGACAAUGGGCGCAAGCCUGAUCCAGCCAUGCCGCGUGAGUGAUGAAGGCCCUAGGGUUGUAAAGCUCUUUCACCGGUGAAGAUAAUGACGGUAACCGGAGAAGAAGCCCCGGCUAACUUCGUGCCAGCAGCCGCGGUAAUACGAAGGGGGCUAGCGUUGUUCGGAUUUACUGGGCGUAAAGCGCACGUAGGCGGACUAUUAAGUCAGGGGUGAAAUCCCGGGGCUCAACCCCGGAACUGCCUUUGAUACUGGUAGUCUUGAGUUCGAGAGAGGUGAGUGGAAUUCCGAGUGUAGAGGUGAAAUUCGUAGA